GUGACCUGGGCUUGGAAGACGGAGCUGUUGUCAGCAAGGCAGGCUGAGAGUGACCUGGGCUGGGUGUCUGGUGCAGUGAGGAGGAUGCUGUUUUGUACGCCACCUUUCCAUGCUGUGCCGAGUUCAAGGCCUGGCUGUAGUCCCAGCUGCAGCUUCUGCACACCUUGGGUGGCAACCGGUGAUGGCUCAGAUGCUUGGACCCCUACCACACAAGUGGGAGCCCCAUGUUGAAUCCCCAGUUCCUGCUUCCAGGCUUUGGCCUGGCCCAUGGCUUGUUCUUGUGGGCACUGGGUGAUUGAACCAGCGGAUGAGAGCUGUGUCUGUCCCUCUCAAAUAAAAAAAUAAAAUAAAAUUUAGAAAAAGAACCACCAGCUUGUCUGUCAUCACCGCUGGGGAACGGCCUGUGCGGUGUGCUGGGGUGCAGGGGUUCAGGGGAGGCUCACUCCAGGACAGAGGUCCCCGCACUUGGUGUGGGGUCCCCUUCCUGUUACCUUGUUCUGGUGUGUGCGGGGCUGAAGGAGAUCUCCACUCUCCUGGUUGUGGCUUUGGCACUUGGUGCAGUGUCUGACAAUGUCAGCCCUUGAUACUAUGCCUGUAGUUCCCCCUGUGAGAUGGGUUCCCGUGUUUUGUGUAUUUGGAUGUUUCAUUUCCCUUCUCUGCGUCACUGCUCUGUGUAGACUGGCCAUGUGGACUGGGUUGCUUUCGCCCUGUUGCCUGAUGCUGUCAUUGAGGCCACGCUUUCCAUUUUCAGAGAAUGAAUAUGAGACUCAACAAUGCAAGCAGUCAGCGCCUGUUUCGUUUAUGACAAAGGAGUGUCUACAGCAGCAAGGGGACCAGGGACAGAUGACUCUUUUUCUUGCAGCCUUGAAUUUGAUUCAGAAAUGUCAAUUGGAUAAUUGUGUGUGAAGGUGUGACGUUGGCUCCUUGGGAGGGUACAGGUGUGAAUAAGAUGGCCAUGCUCCCUGUGGGCGUGUUGAGUACCAGGAAGAGGAGGGGCAGCUUGUCCAUUAGAAUUUUAUGUAAACGCCAGGCAGACUUGUGUCCUGUGUGGGGGCCUCGGUGCUAAAGGAAGUACAGUCAGACCGGACGACCAUGGCUUCUGUACCUAACUGCUUGCGGAAUGCAGGUGGAGGAGUUUGUCUUCUGUGGUUUUACCCUGUUUUUCCCUAAAUAAUACAGUUAUUUGAAUUGUACUUCUGUGUUAGGUGUUACAAAUAUUAAACCAUAUAGGAGGAAGUGUGUAGGAACUAUCUUAAUAUGCCAUUUUUUAAAAAAGAUUGAUUUCUCUAUAUGAAAGGCAGAGUUACAGAGAGGCAGAGGCAGAGGCAGAGAGGUCUUCUGUCUGCUGGUUCAUUCCGCAAAUGGCUGCAACAGCUGGGGCUCAGAAUCCGGAGCCAGGACCCUGGAGCUUCUUUCAGGUCUCCCACGUGGGUACAGGGGCCCAAUGACUUGGGCCAUCCUCCACUGCUUUCCUGGGUGCAUUAGCAGGGAGCUGGAGUGUAAGUGGUGUAGCCGGACUUGAACUGGCACCCGUAUGAGAUGCCAGCACUGUAGGCAGAAGCUUAACCCACUACGUCCUAGCACUACCCCCAAUACCAUGCCAAUUUUAAAGAUUUAUUUAUUUAUUUGAAAAACAGAGAUUGUUGAUCAGUCUUCCAUCUGUUGGUUCACUCACCAGAUAGCUACAAUGGCCAGGCAGAAGUCUGGAGCCAGGAACUGCAUCUGGGCCUCCCACUUUGGUGGCAAUGGCCCAAUCAUUUUCUGCUGCCCUCCCAGGCAUAUUAGCAGGGAGUUGGAUCAGAAGUGGAACAGCUGGGACUCGAUCCUGUUCUCUGAUCGGGAUGCUUGUUUCACAGGUGGCAAUUCAACCCACUGUGCCAAACACUGGUCCCAACCAUGCCAUUUUAUGUAAGGGCUUGAGCGUCUGUGGAUUUUGGUGUCUGCAGGGCAUCCUGGACCUGAUGCCGCAUGGAUGCUGAAGGAAAGCUGCCUAAGAUCUGUUCAGAACACACAGGAGAGGGGGAGGUGAAGCCGGGUGUGCAUGGAGACCCUCAGGUGAUUGCUGUUGCAAGGCACUCUGGCCUUCAUUCUGGGCAGGGGGACCCUGUGCAGGUUUCUGUGUAAGGAAGCACACGGGCACAAGAGAUUCUGAAAAUCGGGAGACUGGCGUUCAGGAGACUAUGGGAGGAGAUGUGUAGGUGGUGGGACCUGGGCCUGCGGCUUUGAGUGGAAAGUGUGGGCUCCAUUCAUUUUGUUCAUUGACUUCUGUGGAUGCGAGUAGAAAGGAAUCGAAGGUAAUGUGGCAGUCUUUCCCUACUGAACAGAAGACGGAGGUGCAGUCAGUCAAGAUGCAGGGUUAGGAGAAGGGGUAGACUGGGCUGUGAACAGGGACAGAGACGGACUUCACAGUGGCUUGUGUGGCCACAGCCAUGAGGCACGUGUUGGUCUUGGAGAUGCCUGGAGGAUCUGCUAGGGUAUGAAGCAGACUGGACACCUGCACCAGGUGCUUUUGUUCUACUCCGGGGUUGAGGAGCGAGGUGAGAGCUGGGGGUGCUGCUGUGGGUUGCUUCAACCCAGAAGUUGUAUUUCUGAGAGCCUGGUCUGGAAGUGCAGAUCCCAGGAACUUUCCUGUUCACAUUCCAGGAAGCAGGAGGGAGAGAGGGGUGAAAGGUUGCACCUGUCCACUGUGUGGCCAGAAGCUCCUCUCCUUGGCCAUCUCAGUGUGUCGGGCUGGGAAGUAUCUCUGUGUGUGUGUGUGUGUGUGUGUGUGUGUGUUCAGUCUGGGCCUGUUACCAUCUCCCUUGAUAGAGUGGUCUUGAAUAAGGAAGGAAGGCGUAGUAGGGACUAAGUGAAGAGCAGCAGUCUUUGCCACAGAAGCUCAACCUGAAAUUCCAGAUGUAGGUGCUAGUGUUCCCAGAGGGUGUAGAGGGCAGAGUCGUGGGAGAAUGCAGCAGGUGUAGGUGCCAGUGUUCCUGGACGGUGUAGCGGGCAGAGUCGUGGGAGAAGGCAGCAGGUGUAGGUGCCAGUGUUCCCGGAGGGUGUAGCGGGCAGAGUCGUGGGAGAGUGCAGCAGGUGUAGGUGCCAGUGUUCCCGGAGGGUGUAGAGGGCAGAGUUGUGGGAGAGUGCAGCAGGUGUAGGUGCCAGUGUUCCCGGAGGGUGUAGAGGGCAGAGUCGUGGGAGAGUGCAGCAGGUGUAGGUGCCAGUGUUCCCGGAGGGUGUAGAGGGCAGAGUCGUGGGAGAGUGCAGCAGGUGUAGGUGCUAGUGUUCCCGGAGGGUGUAGAGGGCAGAGUCGUGGGAGAAGGCAGCAGGUGUAGGUGCCAGUGUUCCCGGAGGGUGUAGAGGGCGGAGUCGUGGGAGCAUGCAGCAGGUGUAGGUGCCAGUGUUCCCGGAGGGUGUAGAGGGCAGAGUCGUGGGAGAAGGCAGCAGGUGUAGGUGCCAGUGUUCCCGGAGGGUGUAGAGGGCAGAGUCGUGGGAGCAUGCAGCAGGUGUAGGUGCCAGUGUUCCCGGAGGGUGUAGAGGGCAGAGUCGUGGGAGCAUGCAGCAGGUGUAGGUGCCAGUGUUCCCGGAGGGUGUAGAGGGCAGAGUCGUGGGAGAAGGCAGCAGGUGUAGGUGCCAGUGUUCCCGGAGGGUGUAGAGGGCAGAGUCGUGGGAGAAGGCAGCAGGUGUAGGUGCCAGUGUUCCCGGAGGGUGUAGAGGGCAGAGUCGUGGGAGAGUGCAGCAGGUGUAGGUGCCAGUGUUCCCGGAGGGUGUAGAGGGCAGAGUCGUGGGAGAGUGCAGCAGGUGUAGGUGCUAGUGUUCCCGGAGGGUGUAGAGGGCAGAGUCGUGGGAGAAGGCAGCAGGUGUAGGUGCCAGUGUUCCCGGAGGGUGUAGAGGGCGGAGUCGUGGGAGCAUGCAGCAGGUGUAGGUGCCAGUGUUCCCGGAGGGUGUAGAGGGCAGAGUCGUGGGAGAAGGCAGCAGGUGUAGGUGCCAGUGUUCCCGGAGGGUGUAGAGGGCAGAGUCGUGGGAGCAUGCAGCAGGUGUAGGUGCCAGUGUUCCCGGAGGGUGUAGAGGGCAGAGUCGUGGGAGCAUGCAGCAGGUGUAGGUGCCAGUGUUCCCGGAGGGUGUAGAGGGCAGAGUUGUGGGAGCAGGCAGCAGGUGUAGGUGCCAGUGUUCCCGGAGGGUGUAGCGGGCAGAGUCGUGGGAGAAGGCAGCAGGUGUAGGUGGAAGGGCUGUGGGCAAGUGCCGAUGGCAGGAUCCUUGGCACAUGUGGGAGGCUGGGUGAGGCGGGGGAUGUCCAGCUGUAGCUAGGAUGUGGUUCUUUAUUGGGACAUGAAAGCCCUUCCCCAGUGCUCGUGUUAGACUGGUGUAUAACUUGGGCCGGUCUCUAAGCCUCAGUUCUGUCUGGGACUCCCGGCACAAGAUCAUCGGGAGGAGUUGUAAAGGUGGCUGCCAUGUGGUUAGCCUGGUCUUGCAUACUUGGGUGUGUGUCCGUCCCAGCUGAUGUCGUCACUUCGUGCAGGAGGAGCAGGGACAUGGACUUCGGUGGUCUGUGAGAGGAGGAGGUGGCGGUGAACAGAGUGUCUGUGACUGAGAAGGUUGGGUUGAGGGCUGCUUCUGGGGAGGGGAUGAAGGGGUCCCGCGGCCCUGAGCGCGGAAGGAAGAAGCCGGACGAGUUCCGCACUUGAGGAGCAGUGGGAGCGCUCGGGUGCAGGGCUGGGCAGCAGCCUGAGGUCAGGUCUGUGGCCCUCGUCUCACAGAGGGGCAUGGCAGAUGGCUGUUUCCCUUCCGAAUCUGACUGCGUGUGACCCGCGUGUCCCCCACGACUGAUGGAGUAAAAUCCAGACGCUUUGAGUUGUGAGGCUUCCUUGUGGGCACCAGCAGCAUUCAAAGAAUUGGGCCGAGUCUGAAUUCAGACAGAUGUUCUAGAAGGAUCUCUGAGUGUUACAAAGCUUAACACUUCAGUUGCUGUCUGUUUCAGCACGGUAAACUGCUUUGAGCACAAGUUGGGGGAAGUCCCGUAGAGUUUCUUGUAACAGAUCUGCCUUCAUAGGGAAAGCCAAAUUGACAUACAAACUAAUGAGCUCUUCCCAUACGUUUUCCUUUCUUGUUUUUUUU